GGGUGAGUAAUAUAUCGGAACGUGCCCAGUCGUGGGGGAUAACGCAGCGAAAGCUGUGCUAAUACCGCAUACGAUCUCUGGAUGAAAGCGGGGGUCUCGCAAGAGCCUCGCGCGAUUGGAGCGGCCGAUAUCAGAUUAGCUAGUUGGCGGGGUAAAAGCCCACCAAGGCGACGAUCUGUAGCUGGUCUGAGAGGACGACCAGCCACACUGGAACUGAGACACGGUCCAGACUCCUACGGGAGGCAGCAGUGGGGAAUUUUGGACAAUGGGCGAAAGCCUGAUCCAGCAAUGCCGCGUGCAGGAUGAAGGCCUUCGGGUUGUAAACUGCUUUUGUACGGAACGAAACGGUCUGCCUUAAUACGGUGGGCUAAUGACGGUACCGUAAGAAUAAGCACCGGCUAACUACGUGCCAGCAGCCGCGGUAUACGUAGGGUGCGAGCGUUAAUCGGAAUUACUGGGCGUAAAGCGUGCGCAGGCGGUUAUAUAAGACAGAUGUGAAAUCCCCGGGCUCAACCUGGGACCUGCAUUUGUGACUGUAUAGCUAGAGUACGGUAGAGGGGGAUGGAAUUCCGCGUGUAGCAGUGAAAUGCGUAGAUAUGCGGAGGAACACCGAUGGCGAAGGCAAUCCCCUGGACCUGUACUGACGC
rnacentral:rRNA from 1 species